AGAUUCCCUCAGUAACGGCGAGCGAAGAGGGAUAAGCUCAAAUUUUAAAUCUGUUGGGUUCCACUUAACAGAGUUGUAUUUUGAAGAAACGUUUUCUGCRUCCAGGAUUAGCCUAAAUCCUUUGGGAUAAGGUAUCAUGGAGGGUGAGAAUCCCGUUCAUGGUUAAUCUUAAGGAAGCUCUACGAUACGUUUUCCAAGAGUCGAGUUGUUUGGGAUUGCAGCUCAAAAUGGGAGGUAAAUUUCUCCUAAGGCUAAAUAUUGGCGAGAGACCGAUAGCGAACAAGUACCGUGAGGGAAAGAUGAAAAGAACUUUGAAAAGAGAGUUAAACAGUACGUGAAAUUGUUGAAAGGGAAACGAUUGAAGUCAGUCAUACCAACGGGAAAUCAACCUUUUGAGCUCGGUCUCGUGGGUUUUGAAGAGUUUCAAAGCCUUCGGAUUCGCGGGAUUGGGAUCUCUNGGUGUACUUUUUCGUACGGUUAGUCAACAUCGGUUUUGAAUGUCAUAAAAUGACUGGAGGAAUGUAGCUUCGAUCUCGUAUUGAAGUGUUAUAGCCUUUGGUAGAUGUGAUGUUUGAGACCGAGGAUUGCAACGGAUACCCUUCAGGGCUAUUCGUCUGAUCUCUGAUACGUUGCCUUGAUGUUGAAAGCUUGCUUAUGAUGUUAGGGUAUUACGGUCAAAAGGUUAGAACGAAUUACAUUCGUUAAGGAUGUUGACGUAAUGACUUUAAACGACC
rnacentral:rRNA from 1 species